ACAUGCAGUCGAGCGGGGUUAUGUAGAAGCUUGCUUCUACAUAAUCUAGCGGCGGACGGGUGAGUAACACGUAGGCAACCUGCCCACAAGACAGGGAUAACUACCGGAAACGGUAGCUAAUACCCGAUACAUCCUUUUCCUGCAUGGGAGAAGGAGGAAAGGCGGAGCAAUCUGUCACUUGUGGAUGGGCCUGCGGCGCAUUAGCUAGUUGGUGGGGUUAAAGGCCUACCAAGGCGACGAUGCGUAGUCCGACCUGAGAGGGUGAUCGGCCACACUGGGACUGAGACACGGCCCAGACUCCUACGGGAGGCAGCAGUAGGGAAUCUUCCGCAAUGGGCGAAAGCCUGACGGAGCAACGCCGCGUGAGUGAUGAAGGUUUUCGGAUCGUAAAGCUCUGUUGCCAGGGAAGAACGUCUUGUAGAGUAACUGCUACAAGAGUGACGGUACCUGAGAAGAAAGCCCCGGCUAACUACGUGACCAGCAGCCGCGGAUAAUACGUAGGGGGCAAGCGUUGUCCGGAAUUAUUGGGCGUAAAGCGCGCGCAGGCGGCAUCUUUAAGUCUGGUGUUUAAUCCCGAGGCUCAACUUUCGGGUCGCAUCUGGAAACUGGGGAGCUUGAGUGCAGAAGAGGAGAGUGGAAUUCCACGUGUAGCGGUGAAAUGCGUAGAGAUGUGGAGGAACACCAGUGGCGAAGGCGACUCUCUGGGCUGUAACUGACGCUUGAGGCGCGAAAGCGUGGGGAGCAAACAGGAUUAGAUACCCUGGUAGUCCACGCCGUAAACGAUGAAUGCUAGGUGUUAGGGGUUUCGAUACCCUUGGUGCCGAAGUUAACACAUUAAGCAUUCCGCCUGGGGAGUACGGUUCGCAAGACUGAAACUCAAAGGAAUUGACUGGGGACCCGCACAAGCAGUGGAGUAUGUGGUUUAAUUCGAAGCAACGCGAAGAACCUUACCAGGUCUUGACAUCCCUCUGACCGGUUCUAGAGAUAGACCUUUCCUUCGGGACAGAGGAGACAGGUGGUGCAUGGUUGUCGUCAGCUCGUGUCGUGAGAUGUUGGGUUAAGUCCCGCAACGAGCGCAACCCUUAUGCUUAGUUGCCAGCAGGUCAAGCUGGGCACUCUAAGCAGACUGCCGGUGAACAAACCGGAGGAAGGUGGGGAUGACGUCAAAUCAUCAUGACCCCUUAUGACCUGGGCUACACACGUACUACAAUGGCCGGUACAACGGGAAGCGAAGCCGCGAGGUGGAGCCAAUCCUAGAAAAGCCGGUCUCAGUUCGGAUUGUAGGCUUGCAACUCGCCUACAUGAAGUCGGAAUUGCUAGUAAUCGCGGAUCAGCAUGCCGCGGUGAAUACGUUCCCUGGGUCUUGUACACACCGCCCGUCACACCACGAGAGUUUACAACACCCGAAGUCGGUGAGGUAACCGCAAGGAGCCA
rnacentral:rRNA from 1 species